GAUGGAAUAUCUAACUCUUAUUUUUAUAGAUGAUAUAUCAUUUUAUCAGAGAUAGGUUUCAUGAAAAGCUACCAAAUGAUAAUUUUGUAAAAUUCAUUUAUUUCUGUUAAUAUUAUUUAUUUGCUCACCAAUCAAAUAGGCCUUGAGAAUCUCCAAUGAAGUUAUAUUCUUGUCUAUAAUAGCGGAACCAUCCCAAACUGCC
rnacentral:lncRNA from 1 species